ACACUGGAACUGAGACACGGUCCAGACUCCUACGGGAGGCAGCAGUGGGGAAUAUUGCACAAUGGGCGCAAGCCUGAUGCAGCCAUGCCGCGUGUGUGAAGAAGGCCUUCGGGUUGUAAAGCACUUUCAGUCGUGAGGAAGGUAGUGUAGUUAAUAGCUGCAUUAUUUGACGUUAGCGACAGAAGAAGCACCGGCUAACUCCGUGCCAGCAGCCGCGGUAAUACGGAGGGUGCGAGCGUUAAUCGGAAUUACUGGGCGUAAAGCGCAUGCAGGUGGUUUGUUAAGUCAGAUGUGAAAGCCCGGGGCUCAACCUCGGAAUUGCAUUUGAAACUGGCAGACUAGAGUACUGUAGAGGGGGGUAGAAUUUCAGGUGUAGCGGUGAAAUGCGUAGAGAUCUGAAGGAAUACCGGUGGCGAAGGCGGCCCCCUGGACAGAUACUGACACUCAGAUGCGAAAGCGUGGGGAGCAAACAGGAUUAGAUACCCUGGUAGUCCACGCCGUAAACGAUGUCUACUUGGAGGUUGUGGCCUUGAGCCGUGGCUUUCGGAGCUAACGCGUUAAGUAGACCGCCUGGGGAGUACGGUCGCAAGAUUAAAACUCAAAUGAAUUGACGGGGGCCCGCACAAGCGGUGGAGCAUGUGGUUUAAUUCGAUGCAACGCGAAGAACCUUACCUACUCUUGACAUCCAGAGAACUUUCCAGAGAUGGAUUGGUGCCUUCGGGAACUCUGAGACAGGUGCUGCAUGGCUGUCGUCAGCUCGUGUUGUGAAAUGUUGGGUUAAGUCCCGCAACGAGCGCAACCCUUAUCCUUGUUUGCCAGCGAGUAAUGUCGGGAACUCCAGGGAGACUGCCGGUGAUAAACCGGAGGAAGGUGGGGACGACGUCAAGUCAUCAUGGCCCUUACGAGUAGGGCUACACACGUGCUACAAUGGCGCAUACAGAGGGCAGCCAACUUGCGAAAGUGAGCGAAUCCCAAAAAGUGCGUCGUAGUCCGGAUUGGAGUCUGCAACUCGACUCCAUGAAGUCGGAAUCGCUAGUAAUCGUGGAUCAGAAUGCCACGGUGAAUACGUUCCCGGGCCUUGUACACACCGCCCGUCACACCAUGGGAGUGGGCUGCAAAAGAAGUAGGUAGUUUAACCUUCGGGGGGACGCUUACCACUUUGUGGUUCAUGACUGGGGUGAAGUCGUAACAAGGUAGCGCUAGGGGAACCUGGCGCUGGAUCACCUCCUUAAACGAUGAU
rnacentral:rRNA from 1 species